GUCCACACCCUAAACGAUGUUUACUCGUUGUUUGUCUUUCGGGAUGAGCGACCAAGCGAAAGCGUUAAGUAAACCACCUGGGGAGUACGCCGGCAACGGUGAAACUCAAAGGAAUUGACGGGGUCCGCACAAGCGGUGGAGCAUGUGGUUUAAUUCGAUGAUACGCGAGGAACCUUACCUGGGCUAGAAUGUGAGCGAAUGUGAAUGAAAGUUUGCAGUCCGCAAGGACGCGAAACAAGGUGCUGCAUGGCUGUCGU
rnacentral:rRNA from 1 species